CCUACGGGAGGCAGCAGUGAGGAAUAUUGGUCAAUGGGAGAGAUCCUGAACCAGCCAAGCCGCGUGAGGGAAGAUGGCCCUAUGGGUUGUAAACCUCUUUUGUCGGGGAACAAAACCCGGGACGUGUACCGGACUGCGUGUAUCCGACGAAAAAGCAUCGGCUAACUCCGUGCCAGCAGCCGCGGUAAUACGGAGGAUGCGAGCGUUAUCCGGAUUUAUUGGGUUAAAGGGGUGCGUCGGCGGUCCGUUAAGUCAGCGGGAAAAUUGCGGGGCUCAACCCCGUCGAGCCGUUGAAACUGGCAGACUUGAGUUGGCGAGAAGUACGCGGAAUGCGCGGUGUAGCGGUGAAAUGCAUAGAGAUCGCGAAGAACUCCGAUUGCGAAGGCAGCGUACCGGCGCCAGACUGACGCUGAGGCACGAAAGCGUGGGGAUCGAACAGGAUUAGAUACCCCAGUAGUC
rnacentral:rRNA from 1 species